GCCCUUUCAGGGUAUCAAAAGCCUCCCUGACCCCACUCAGACCCUUCCCAGAGCAGACAUCCUAUUACGCUUGUAGAGAAUAACAGAAGACUGAGAAGUAGCUACUGGCUGAUAAGGCUAAAGAACAGGGCCCCGUGCAUGUUUACAGUGGCCUCUCACCCAGGGCAUCCUUCUCAGACCGGUGCCCCCUCUGCCUUCUGCCUGAUGCUCCCACAAAGCUCACAGCAUGACUGUUACAGAUGCAUGUUUGUCCCCCCAAGAUUCAUAUGUUGAAAAGCAAUCCCCAGUGUAUUGGCCUUAGGAGGUACAAUGCGAAGUCAGCCAUCUGCAACCUGGAAGGGCUCUCCCCAGAACCCAACCUUGCGGGCACCCUGAUAUCAGUCUUCCAGGCUCCAGACCGUGAGAGAUAAAUUGCUGUUGAUUAUAA